AUUAGGAUGCCCAGUGUAUUUCUGUUCAUAUGUACAUGCAUUGUGUAUGGUUUAUUUGUCCUAUCUGCCAGUGUCUAAGCGUGACAAGCAGCAAAGAGGGAGGGGGUAUUUCAAAUACAAAGCAAAAUGUGCACAAAAUAGAUGCGCCUCACACUGUCAUAGUAUAGACUGGAACAAAAUACACAUUGUAUAUAUAUAAUUACUACUAUUAUCCAGUGCUCAUGAUUUAUGUUCACAUAGAUACAUGGUAACAACAACAUACCUGGUAUUAUGGACAAUGACUACUCCAUUGCCACAACUGUAGAAUACACCAGACUGGCCAAAAGUGCUCCACUGCCUCAACUGUAGAAUACACCGGACUGGCCAAAAGUUGUCCAUAGCCACAACUAUAGAACACACUGGACCGACCAAAAGAUGCCUACAUAUGACCAAUAACUACAGAUAUGCUCUCCUGGACCAUGGUUUGUUGUUUAACCACUGUUACCUGACCAAAAAUUCAAAAACCACUGUCACCUCUUUUCUGAAUCAGAAGAUGGCUGACUCUCUGAUAUACUACUAGAAAAAAGCAUAGCCCAAAAAGCAUGAAUGAAUGAUGGAUCUGAACAUGUACUUCAUUAGUGAUGUGCAUAGCACAAAAAAUAUGGAUGGCAAUACAUGGCUGACGGAAAUGGUAACUUCAAAAAUUACAUGACAACCAAAACUUUAUGCAAGUCUAUGAAGAAAAUCAUUGUAUCAUUUUUCUUUAAUUAAUUUCGAAACAUACCUUCCUCUUGCAGCAGUCUUGCUCAUUCGGCCCUUCAACAGCAGUUCACCGAUUAGUUUAUCAGUCGGCGGCGGCAGCAGUGGUCUUCAGCACGGCAGCAGGCAGCACGAGCGGAGAAGGUAGUGAGAGAAGGAGAAGAAGCAGCAGAAACUAGCAGACACCCCGCACCCGUUGUGGCGGCCUGGAGGGGCGGCGAGAGUUGGCAAGGCAGGCGGCCAAUGGUUGGCAGUAGUGAGAAGCGAGUGAAAGACCUGGUUGACUUGGGGAAAGGAGGAGAACAGAGGACUGGUCGAUUUAGGGAAAGAAGAGCAGAUAAGGUUUGGUAGAUUUGGGGGAAAGGAGGAGGAGAGACGAGCGUGCGUGACAGCAGGUAGUCGGUGUAUUGGGCUUGGAUAUAUUUGAGCUGGGCCAAAUGCUUAUAGUGUACUUAAUUAUCCUUUUCAAUUAUGAAAUGGUGGGUCGUGGCACCCAUUUUAAUUUUGCAUGUUCUGUUAGGUUGCCUUCUGUAUGCCAGUUAGUAUUCAGUUUUCUUUUCUUUUGUUUGUUUGUAUUUCUUAAAAGCUAAUGUUGUUGCACAGUUUUUUUAACCUUUUCUUUUUGCUGGGAGAAAGAUGAUGCUCUUUCUUAGAAAAUUACUUAUUAGAUGGAACGGUAGUCACCUUGCAAAGUUCUUCCACCAAAUGUUUUUGUGUGUGCAACUUAUGAUCGGUUUUUCUAUUCAUUUAUUCUACAGUUUUAUUCUGCAGAAA
rnacentral:lncRNA from 1 species